UACGGAGGAUCCAAGCGUUAUCCGGAAUUACUGGGCGUAAAGAGUUGCGUAGGUGGCAUUGUAUGUCGGUAGUGAAAGCGUGGGGCUCAACUCCAUAAACAUUAUCGAAACUGCAAAGCUAGAGGACGAGAGAGGUUAUUGGAAUUCCCAGUGUAGGAGUGAAAUCCGUAGAUAUUGGGAGGAACACCGAUGGCGUAGGCAGAUAACUGGCUCGUUCCUGACACUAAGGCACGAAAGCGUGGGGAGCAAACGGG
rnacentral:rRNA from 1 species